AUCCUCGUAUCCCUGCCUUGCCAAAAAGGAAAUACGUUUAAGGAAAAGAAAGCAGGACACUCAGUUCUGACUGCAUUAAGAAUAUAGGUGGAGACCUAACAUAUUUUACAGGACCACAAUUGCUAUCCGUCAGCUGUGCCGCA